UACGGAGGGUGCAAGCGUUAUCCGGAUUCACUGGGUUUAAAGGGUGCGUAGGCGGGCAGGUAAGUCCGUGGUGAAAUCUCUGAGCUUAACUCAGAAACUGCCAUGGAUACUAUUUGUCUUGAAUAUUGUGGAGGUAAGCGGAAUAUGUCAUGUAGCGGUGAAAUGCUUAGAUAUGACAUAGAACACCAAUUGCGAAGGCAGCUUACUACACAGUUAUUGACGCUGAGACGAGAACGUGGGGAGCAAACAGG
rnacentral:rRNA from 1 species